rnacentral:rRNA from 1 species
UCAAGCUAAGAAGAGCGCAGGGCGAAUGCCUUGGCACUGGGAGCCGACGAAGGACGUGAUAAGCUGCGAUAAGCUGCGGGGAGGAGCAAAUAUCCAUUGAUCCGCAGAUUUCCGAAUGGAGAAAUCCGUAUGGAGAAGUCCAUACAUCAUAUACUGAAUUCAUAGGUAUAUGAGGGAAACCGCCUGAACUGAAACAUCUAAGUAGGGCGAGGAAAAGAAAUCAACCGAGAUACCGCAAGUAGUGGCGAGCGAACGCGGCAGAGGCCAAACCGGGAGUAGAAAUACUCCCGGGGUUGCGGACUGCAUUUAGCAUUGUUGAUCUUUAACCGAAGGGCAUGGGAAGGCCCACCGAAGAACGUGAGAGUCGUGUAGGUGAAAAGGAGAGACAGCGAGCAGGAUCCAGAGUACCGCGGGACACGAGGAAUCCCGUGGGAAGCCGGGGGGACCACCCUCCAAGCCUAAAUACUACCCAGUGACCGAUAGCGUAUAGUACUGUGAAGGAAAGGUGAAAAGGACCCCGGGAGGGGAGUGAAAUAGAACCUGAAACCCUGUGCUUACAAGCACCGAGAGCCCGUCAAUGGGUGAUCGGGUACUUUUUGUAGAACGGUCCGGCGAGUAUAUGGAACAAGCAAGGUUAAGGUCUUCAGGACCGAAGCCGAAGGGAAACCAAGUCUUAAUAGGGCGCACAGUUUGUUUCAUAUGACCCGAAACCGGGUGACCUAUCCAUGUCCAGGUUGAAGUGGCGGUAAAACGCCAUGGAGGACCGAACCAACCCCCGUUGAAAAGGUGGUGGAUGAGGUGUGGAUAGCGGAGAAAUUCCAAUCGAACUCGGAUAUAGCUGGUUCUCCCCGAAAUAGCUUUAGGGCUAGCGUUGUGUUAGAUUACCGGAGGUAAAGCACUGAAUAGGCUAGGGGGCGAGAGUCUACCGACCCUUAUCAAACUCUGAAUGCCGGAUAAUUGAUGCACAGCAGUCAGACAGUGUGAGAUAAGUUUCAUUGUCAAAAGGGAAACAGCCCAGACCCACAGCUAAGGUCCCAAAUGUAUGUUAAGUGGAAAAGGAUGUCCAGUUGCACAAACAACCAGGAUGUUGGCUUAGAAGCAGCCACACAUUCAAAGAGUGCGUAACAGCUCACUGGUCGAGUGACCGGGCGCCGAAAAUGUAACGGGGCUAAACAUACAACCGAAGCUUGGGCUGCACAGCAAUGUGCGGGGUAGGGGAGCGUUGUGUGCGGGGAGAAGCACGAGCGGAAGCGCGUGUGGACUGCACAGAAGUGAGAAUGCCGGAAUGAGUAGCGCGAAUUAUGUGAGAAUCAUAAUGGCCGAAAGCCUAAGGUUUCUGGAGGAAGGUUCGUCCGCUCCAGGUUAGCCGGGAGCUAAGGUGAGGCCGAAAGGCGUAGCCGAUGCACAUACGGUGGAGAUUCCGUAGCCAUCAAAAGAUUUAAGCAGAGGGACACAGUAGAAGGGUACAUGCCGGGCGUUGGUAGCCCCGGUUGCAAGGGACCGAAAUUAGAGUAGGGAAGAUGAACUUGGAUACUGGCGAGAAAAGCUCUGUGGAUAUCUGCGAUGCCCGUACCGCAAACCGACACAGGUAGGUAGGAAGAGGAUUCUAAGGCCAACGGGAGAAGGGUUGUUAAGGAACUCGGCAAGUUGACCCCGUAACUUCGGGAGAAGGGGUGCUCUGGAAACAGAGCCGCAGAGAAUAGGUCCAGGCAACUGUUUAGCAAAAACACAGCUCUCUGCUAAAUCGAAAGAUGAUGUAUAGGGGGUGACGCCUGCCCGGUGCUGGAAGGUUAAGAGGAGGAGUGAGAGCCCCGAAUCGAAGCCCCAGUAAACGGCGGCCGUAACUAUAACGGUCCUAAGGUAGCGAAAUUCCUUGUCAGGUAAGUUCUGACCCGCACGAA